UAAAUACUCCCUCCGUUCGGAAUUACUCGUCCAAGAAAUGAAUGUAUCUAGAUGUAUUUUAGUUGUAGAUACAUCCUUCUUUGUGACAAGUAAUUCCGAACGGAGGGAGUAUAAG
rfam:Triticum aestivum genome assembly, contig: Triticum_aestivum_CS42_TGACv1_scaffold_129535_2BL